AUACGGAGGAUGCAAGCGUUAUCCGGAUUUAUUGGGUUUAAAGGGUGCGUAGGCUGUUCGACAAGUCAGGGGUGAAAGCCCGGCGCCUAACGCCGGAACUGCCUUUGAUACUGCCGAGCUGGACUACGGAUGCCGUGGGAGGAAUGAGUAGUGUAGCGGUGAAAUGCAUAGAUAUUACUCAGAACACCGAUUGCGAAGGCAUCUCACGAAUCCGUCAUUGACGCUGAGGCACGAAAGCGUGGGGAUCAAACAGGAUUAGAUACCCUGGUAGUCCACGCAGUAAACGAUGAUGACUAACCGUCGGCGAUACACAGUCGGUGGCCAAGCGAAAGCGAUGAGUCAUCCACCUGGGGAGUACGUUCGCAAGAAUGAAACUCAAAUGAAUUGACGGGG
rnacentral:rRNA from 1 species